rnacentral:misc_RNA from 1 species
UUAGGGGGUACUAUAGAUCAUGCGAUGUUGGAGGGGCUGUCGCUUGACUUUUUGACACAAAAGUCUGUGCACGCCGGAGCACGUCCUCUCUCUCACAUAAAAUCCAUCUCACCCUUUUGUGCACCACCGCGCGGGCACCCUUUGGGAUGCUUGCGUUUUCACACAAACCCCUUUUAAAAAAGUGUAGAAUGACCCCACUUUGCGAUGACACGCAAUCAAUACAACUUUCAACAACGGAUCUCUUGGCUCUCGCAUCGAUGAAGAACGCAGCGAAAUGCGAUACGUAAUGUGAAUUGCAGAAUUCAGUGAAUCAUCGAAUCUUUGAACGCACCUUGCCCCCUUGUAUUCCGAGGGGACACCCGUUUGAUGCGGAAAUCUCAACCUUCUCGGUUUCUUCUGGCACCGAAGAGUUGAUUUGAGGCUUUGUGCGCUCUCUAGAGCAGUCUCUUAAUGAUACGGUCUCUUGCGUCUUGCUGGAAAAGUUCCUGCUCGUUUGGUUGUGAUUGGACGUCAACGCCGCAGCAGUUGGAGGCCCUCCGGAAUCCCGCCCCACCUGCUAACGGAAUACCAU